rnacentral:rRNA from 1 species
UACGUAGGGUGCGAGCGUUAAUCGGAAUUACUGGGCGUAAAGCGUGCGCAGGCGGUUUUGUAAGUCAGAUGUGAAAGACCCGGGCUCAACCUGGGAAUGGCAUUUGGGACUGCAAGGCUUGAGUGCGGCAGAGGAGACUGGAAUUCCUGGUGUAGCAGUGAAAUGCGUAGAUAUCAGGAGGAACACCGAUGGCGAAGGCAGGUCUCUGGGCUGACACUGACGCUCAUGCACGAAAGCGUGGGGAGCAAACAGG